AUACGUAGGUGGCAAGCGUUGUCCGGAAUUAUUGGGCGUAAAGCGCGCGCAGGUGGUUUCUCAAGUCUGAUGUGUAAGCCCACGGCUCAACCGUGGAGGGUCAUUGGAAACUGGGAGACUUGCGUGCAGAAGAGGAUAGUGGAAUUCCAAGUGUAGCGGUGAAAUGCGUAGAGAUUUGGAGGAACACCAGUGGCGAAGGCGACUAUCUGGUCUGUAACUGACACUGAGGCGCGAAAGCGUGGGGAGC
rnacentral:rRNA from 1 species